rnacentral:rRNA from 1 species
AUUGAACGCUGGCGGCAUGCCUUACACAUGCAAGUCGAACGGCAGCACGGGUGCUUGCACCUGGUGGCGAGUGGCGAACGGGUGAGUAAUACAUCGGAACAUGUCCUGUAGUGGGGGAUAGCCCGGCGAAGGCCGGAUUAAUACCGCAUACGAUCUACGGAUGAAAGCGGGGGACCUUCGGGCCUCGCGCUAUAGGGUUGGCCGAUGGCUGAUUAGCUAGUUGGUGGGGUAAAGGCCUACCAAGGCGACGAUCAGUAGCUGGUCUGAGAGGACGACCAGCCACACUGGGACUGAGACACGGCCCAGACUCCUACGGGAGGCAGCAGUGGGGAAUUUUGGACAAUGGGCGAAAGCCUGAUCCAGCAAUGCCGCGUGUGUGAAGAAGGCCUUCGGGUUGUAAAGCACUUUUGUCCGGAAAGAAAUCCUUGGCCCUAAUACGGUCGGGGGAUGACGGUACCGGAAGAAUAAGCACCGGCUAACUACGU